rnacentral:rRNA from 1 species
CGUCUCAGUUCGGAUUGCAGGCUGCAACUCGCCUGUAUGAAGUCGGAAUUGCUAGUAAUCGCGGAUCAGCAUGCCGCGGUGAAUACGUUCCCGGGCCUUGUACACACCGCCCGUCACACCAUGAGAGUUGGGAAUACCCGAAGCCUGUGAGCCGACCGAAGGGGCAGCAGUCGAAGGUAGAAUCAAUGAUUGGGGUGAAGUCGUAACAAGGUAUC